rnacentral:rRNA from 1 species
AUGUUUUUUGGGGUGUACUUUUUAGCCCUUGGUUUCUCGCCUGGGGCGUCAGCCAAUCCUGGGUCCGCCAUUGACAAGCAUAGUGAAGGUAAACUAGCUGAUUGGACUGUUGGUCGUACGAGCAGAGAUUUUACGGCGGAUGGAGUAACUGGACCGAGAACCAUUUUGGCUUGGCACACUGCGACUUGUUACCUGGAAAUGGGGCAAUCGAGGAAUGAAAAUUGGCUUGAUGAGCACUCUGUAGAAGAAGGGAGUGAGCACUCUGUAGAAGAAGAGAGAGAGAGAGAAACUGGCGGUAUAUUAUGA